CCAGACUCCUACGGGAGGCAGCAGUGGGGGAUAUUGCACAAUGGAGGAAACUCUGAUGCAGCGACGCCGCGUGAGGGAAGACGGUCUUCGGAUUGUAAACCUCUGUCUUUGGGGAAGAAAAUGACGGUACCCAAAGAGGAAGCUCCGGCUAACUACGUGCCAGCAGCCGCGGUAAUACGUAGGGAGCGAGCGUUGUCCGGAAUUACUGGGUGUAAAGGGAGCGUAGGCGGGCGAGAAAGUUGAAUGUUAAAUCUACCGGCUUAACUGGUAGCUGCGUUCAAAACUUCUUGUCUUGAGUGAAGUAGAGGCAGGCGGAAUUCCUAGUGUAGCGGUGAAAUGCGUAGAUAUUAGGAGGAACACCAGUGGCGAAGGCGGCCUGCUGGGCUUUAACUGACGCUGAGGCUCGAAAGCGUGGGGAGCAAACAGGAUUAGAUACCCCAGUA
rnacentral:rRNA from 1 species